GCCGGAAUCCGACGCUCUCCCCAAGGACACAAGCCAUGCAUGCCCGCGCACCCGGGAGGCGGCGGACGGCUCAGGACAACGGUUGCACCCCCCGCGGCGGUCCCUGCUAGCCGGACACCGCUGGCAACCCGGCGCCAAGACGUGCGCGCAAGGGCGGGCGCCCGCGGGCGAGCAGCGUGACGCAGCGACGGCCCGCCCGGGCUUCCGGGGCAUCACCCGGUCGGCGCGGUCGCGGCGCGCCGAGGGCCCGACGCCUGGCGGAG
rnacentral:rRNA from 1 species